UACGGAGGGUGCGAGCGUUAAUCGGAAUUACUGGGCGUAAAGCGCGCGUAGGCGGUCAGGCAAGUCGGGUGUGAAAGCCCUGGGCUCAACCUGGGAAUUGCAUUCGAUACUGGCGAUCUUGAGUCCGGGAGAGGUGAGUGGAACUGCGAGCGUAGAGGUGAAAUGUGUUGAUAUCGGAAGGAACACCGGUGGCGAAAGCGACGCACUGGGGGUUAACUGACGCUGAGGCACGAAAGCCAGGGUAGCGAACGGG
rnacentral:rRNA from 1 species